rnacentral:tRNA from 1 species
GGCGGAUGUASCCAAKUGGAUCAAGGCAGUGGAUUUGUGAAUCC